rnacentral:rRNA from 1 species
UUGAUCCUGGCUCAGGACGAACGCUGGCGGCGUGCUUAACACAUGCAAGUCGAACGCUGAAGCUUGGUGCUUGCACUGGGUGGAUGAGUGGCGAACGGGUGAGUAAUACGUGAGUAACCUGCCCUUGACUCUGGGAUAAGCCUGGGAAACUGGGUCUAAUACUGGAUACGACGGCGCAUCGCAUGGUGUGUUGUGGAAAGGGUUUUACUGGUUUUGGAUGGGCUCACGGCCUAUCAGCUUGUUGGUGGGGUAAUGGCUCACCAAGGCGACGACGGGUAGCCGGCCUGAGAGGGUGACCGGCCACACUGGGACUGAGACACGGCCCAGACUCCUACGGGAGGCAGCAGUGGGGAAUAUUGCACAAUGGGCGGAAGCCUGAUGCAGCGACGCCGCGUGAGGGAUGACGGCCUUCGGGUUGUAAACCUCUUUCAGCACGGAAGAAGCGAGAGUGACGGUACGUGCAGAAGAAGCGCCGGCUAACUACGUGCCAGCAGCCGCGGUAAUACGUAGGGCGCAAGCGUUGUCCGGAAUUAUUGGGCGUAAAGAGCUCGUAGGCGGUUUGUCGCGUCUGCUGUGAAAGCCCGGGGCUUAACCCCGGGUGUGCAGUGGGUACGGGCAGACUUGAGUGCAGUAGGGGAGACUGGAAUUCCUGGUGUAGCGGUGAAAUGCGCAGAUAUCAGGAGGAACACCGAUGGCGAAGGCAGGUCUCUGGGCUGUUACUGACGCUGAGGAGCGAAAGCAUGGGGAGCGAACAGGAUUAGAUACCCUGGUAGUCCAUGCCGUAAA